rnacentral:rRNA from 1 species
AGUGAACGCUGGCGGUAGGCCUAACACAUGCAAGUCGAACGGCAGCACAGUAAGAGCUUGCUCUUACGGGUGGCGAGUGGCGGACGGGUGAGGAAUACAUCGGAAUCUACUUUUUAGUGGGGGAUAACGUAGGGAAUCUUACGCUAAUACCGCAUACGAUCUACGGGUGAAAGAAGGGGAUCUUCGGACCUUGCGCGAUUGAAUGAGCCGAUGUCGGAUUAGCUAGUUGGCGGGGUAAAGUCGCACCAAGGCGACGUUCCUUAGCUGGCAUGAGAGGAUGAUCAGCCACACUGAGACUGAGACACGGUCCAGACUCCUACGGGAAGCAGCAGUAGGGAAUAUUGGGCAAUGGGCGCAAGCCUGAUCCAGCCAUACCGCGUGAGUGAAGAAGGCCUUCGGGUUGUAAAGCCCUUUUGUUGGGAAAGAAAAGCAGCAGUUUAAUACCCCGCUGUUCUGACGGUACCCAAAGAAUAAGCACCGGCUAACUUCGUG